rnacentral:rRNA from 1 species
CCUUAGGGUUGUAAAGCACUUUAGGCGGGGAAGAAGGUGUGGAGUUUAAGAGACACUACAUUUGACGGUACCCGCAGAAUAAGCACCCGGCUAACUCUGUGC